CCAAUACUCCCUCCGUUCGGAAUUACUUGUCGCAGAAAUGGAUGUAUGUAGAUGUAUUUUAGUUAUAGAUACAUCCAUUUCCGAGACAAGUAAUUCCGAAUGGAGGGAGUACUCC
rnacentral:pre_miRNA from 1 species